GGUGGGGAUGGCAGGUUCGCAUUGACCAACUACGAAUUGGUCGAUACGGGUUCGAUUCCCUCUGUCUCCACCACCA
rnacentral:tRNA from 1 species